AUGGGUCGAUAUUUUACAAAGAUCCAGCAAAAGAAGGAUCUUGUAGAUUUCAGAGGCCUACGACCCAAGCGGAGUGGAGAAAGUGUAGAGCGACUGAGACGCCCAUCAUCUUUUUCCAUCGGAGGUUUAGAUCCCUCCAACACUGUGACCUGGCAGCCCACUAGAAUGCCUUCAUCUUAUCCCAACACAGAAAUGGCCUUCUUCUCCGACAAGAGCAUUGUGUACACCCUCACCCUCGGCGUUGUUGAGUACUAUGAGUACCAAGUGUCCCACUGCCAAAAGGGAGGUGUUCCCCCACCUAGGGGUAGCUUCCAACUAACCCCCCUCCUCCCCUUUACCUCCCCUCAACCCAUCCUCUAAAUGUGUUUCUACUAGUAUGCGGCCCAAAUGGCACCCUACUUCCUAUGUAGUGCACGACUUUUGUAACCCUACUUCCAAUGUAGUGCACUACUUUUGACCAGGGCCCUUUUUGACCAGGGCCCAGAAAGCAGUGCACUACAUAGGGAAUAGGGUGCCAUUUCAGACUGAAUUCCUAGUCUUCUGGUAGUGGCUUGUCCUUUCUCCUUUCUUAUUCUACCCUCCCAGAUUCUUUUCAUUGGCAGACAUUAUGCAAAUCUGUCAAGCGUAUAACAACUUAAAAUAUGUUGAAAUUGAAUACAGUUAGUUGACUCAUCGUUAACAUGCUGUAUGAUUCUGUUUGUUUAUGGGCGAGCUGUUUAGAUAUAAAUGUAAGUCCUUAUGUUUUACAUAACGGAUACAUAGGGAGAAUAUUCAUCAUAAAAGCUGUUCCAUUACAUUCAGUGUCGAUUACACCAAAAUAGUUACAUUGUAUUGUUAUUAUGGAGAGUUGAGAAGAAAUAUAUUAUAUUGGACGUCAAUGUCUUUGGCUCGAGAACUGUUUUCUUUUUCAGAUGAAUCGAUCAAUCCAUCAGUCUAUUAUUAUUUUGAUACACUGUGGCCUGUCUGUCUCGUCGCUUUCCCGCAUACUGUAAUCAUAACCCAUAAAGCUCUUCAAUGAAGAGUCACUCUAUACCUACCUAUGUGGCAUAAUGGUAAAUCAGUGAUAUGUAUUCUGAGGCAUUGGUUCUACAAUUAUAGGGGGAAGGGAGUUGACUAGCCUGAGUGUCAGUAUAUUUGUGCUAUCAUGUCACUCAUUGGCUUUCAUGGUUGGGAUCAAUUCCAUUUAAAUUCCAGUCUAUUCAGAAAGUAAACAAAAUGUUUUAAAAAAAUAAAUAAUUAAAGUUUAAAAUAAUUUCAGUGUACUUCCUGAAUUGGCUGGAAUUGAAAAGAAAUUGACCCCAACCCUGUUGGAUUGACAAUGAGCAUUGGACUUGUCAAGAGCACAAACAAAUCUAGGACCAGGCUAGUAGUUGCCAUCUGUAUCCAGAUGUGCAUGUAUAAGCUGGGUCAGGAUAUAUAAGACCAUUCUGGGUAGUUAACUUAAAUGUUGUAAAAAAUCUGGUGUAUAGCUCGAUUUCCCAGGUCAUUUCAGGAAGCAAUAAUGGCAUGGAGUGUGGCAGUUUGAGUUGUAAACAAGAAUUAUAUGGACAAGAUAGAGCAAUAUUGCCAUACAAACAGCUGUGGCUUAGUCAGUGGAGCUGGGAACCAUUGUCAGGAAUCUCGUUGUAUACUUACCCAAAUGCCACCCUAUUCCCUAUAUAGUGCAAUACUUUUGACUAGAGCCCAAUGAGUCAUGGUCAAAAGUAGUGCACAAAAUAGUCAAUGGGGUGCCAUUUGGGAUGUAACACUUCCCGCAGCAAAAUGGAAAUGUGUCAGAGUAUACUGGGUGUGGGUGGGUGCUUAUUUCAUUGAAAAUAUCAGUGGCCAUACUUGUGUAUCAUGUGAAGAAACUAUGGCCGUGUCUGAAAUGGCACUAUUCACUAUAUAGUGCACUACCUUCGACUAGGACCUAUAGGGCUCUGGUAAAAAGUAGUGCACUAUAUAGGGAAUAUGGUGCCAUUUCAGACGCAGCCUACAUUUCACUGAAUAUUUAUUUUUGUUAUCAUUGAAUUGUUAAUCAGUUUGCAUAAUGUACAAAAUAAAGUAUAUUUUAAAUAUUUUAAGAGGUAUUUUGUAUUUAACCAUUAUGGUUUAUUUCUGCAUACUUUGAUCACAAGUUGAAAGUAUCAUAAUGUCUGUACAGUACCAUAAUGAGAGUAUAUAAUUUUCUAGUGCAAAAAAAACAUUUAAGAAAAUAGAUUGACAUAAAGAAGGAUGACCUUACAAGUAAAGCUGUCUGCCGUGUGCCUUGAUCACACGGUUGUUCUGUGUAGUGACAAGAUGAGGGUUUAUCUUCUUUCUGAGUAUUGACUUGAUGGGAAAAUCUGGUUGUGCCAUGAGUUCCUAUUUGUAGUGCAUUUUCACAUGAAAAAACAGUUGAACAUUUGAUGUUGGGCAUUCUUUAUUAUAUUUGAUCCAUCGCAGCUGUGUUCUUAUGUUUAUGGUCAGCUGUGACCUGCAGUGUUGUGGUCAAUUCCAUUUGAAUCCCGGAACAUAAUGCUCAAUGCUGGUGUAUGGAAAAAAUGUGGAAUCAGAAUCGUAGUUUCAGUUCACUUCCGGAAUUGACCCCAACUCCGCUGACCUGUCUUAUUUAGUUUUUUUAUGUCUUCCAAGCCAAGUCACAUACUGUUGUUUUGUUGCUGAUUCAUAGCAACACGUUUACAAAUUUAAAAUAAAUCCAAUAUUUUAUUAUUGCAACUUAACAUUUCUUUAUACAUUGAGCGACGUUUGAGUUUCAGACAGCUGUCAAUGAUACAAUGGUUAGGGAAGGAUGUAUAAUGCAUCGAUAAAGGUGCACAUUAAUGUUGUUUUCCUAUUUGUCAAAGGUGAAUACAUCUACUGCUCAAUCCCAGUUUUAUAACGUAUACUUUAAUGUAGCAUUAUUGCGGCUGAAGUAUUUCAUUGACUUAGAACUUUAUGCUACGCUUAAUAUAUCUGACCAACAUAUUUACAUUUUUUUAAUAAUCAUGGCACCUAAGGCAAUUGUGUGCAUUACAUUAUUCUUAAGGCAAUGACAAAUAAUUACUAAUUGCACACUGUUACAUCAUUUUAGGUGUUACAAACAACUUAUUCUGGUUCUGCCACUUCUUAAGCCUGAAAGGUAGCAAUGUUGACUGCAUACUUAUAUAGUGACUGCCCUUCACAUACUUUUCUCUUGUUGUAAUAUUUUCUAUUUUCAUAAGAGAUUUAAUUAAGAGCUUUUUGUACUCACUGACAUUUUUUUCUUACAUGAAAUGCAAGAGAGAGGAGGAUUCUUUUUUUGUUGUUGCAUACAGUAUAUUUGCAUUUGGUACUCUCCAGUAGUCAAAACGAACGAAUGGGCAACCAUUAUCUCUCAGAAUUGUAUUUACAAAACUAUGCCAAGUAUUUAAAGGCAAUUUUUUUAGUAAAAUCCAAUGGAAAAUCAUUCAUUUAUUUUUCAUUUUAAAGCAUUUUAUUUGCUUUGUAUUGAUGAAUAUGAGCAUAAUACAUAGUCAAAUGAUUGUGCUACUGUUGUAUGACACUGCAGUCUGAUUCAUAAAUAAACUCCUUGCAUGAAGGUUGUCUUUGUGAUCAAUCAAACAGUUUUGUUCUAGAG
rnacentral:lncRNA from 1 species